GGGCCCGCACAAGCGGAGGAACAUGUGGUUUAAUUCGAUGAUACGCGAGGAACCUUACCCGGGCUUAAAUUGCAAAUGAAUAAUUCGGAAACGGAUUAGCCGCAAGGCAUUUGUGAAGGUGCUGCAUGGUUGUCGUCAGCUCGUGCCGUGAGGUGUCGGCUUAAGUGCCAUAACGAGCGCAACCCUUAUCUUUAGUUACUAACAGUUGAUGCUGAGGACUCUAGAGAGACUGCCGUCGUAAGAUGUGAGGAAGGUGGGGAUGACGUCAAAUCAGCACGGCCCUUACGUCCGGGGCUACACACGUGUUACAAGUGGGGGUACAGAAGGUCGCUACCUGGUGACAGGAUGCUAAUCCCAAAAACCUCUCUCAGUUCGGAUCGAAGUCUGCAACCCGACUUCGUGAAGCUGGAUUCGCUAGUAAUCGCGCAUCAGCCAUGGCG
rnacentral:rRNA from 1 species